rnacentral:rRNA from 1 species
UGCCCAAGANAUCGGGAUAACACCUGGAAACAGAUGCUAAUACCGGAUAACAACAGAUGAUGCCUAUCAACUGUUUAAAAGAUGAUUCUGCUAUCACUCUUGGAUGGACCUGCGGUGCAUUAGCUAGUUGGUAGGGUAACGGCCUACCAAGGCGAUGAUGCAUAGCCGAGUUGAGAGACUGAUCGGCCACAUUGGGACUGAGACACGGCCCAAACUCCUACGGGAGGCAGCAGAG